GAGUGAACGCUGGCGGUAGGCCUAACACAUGCAAGUCGAACGGCAGCACAGUAAGAGCUUGCUCUUACGGGUGGCGAGUGGCGGACGGGUGAGGAAUACAUCGGAAUCUACUUUUUCGUGGGGGAUAACGUAGGGAAACUUACGCUAAUACCGCAUACGACCUACGGGUGAAAGCAGGGGAUCUUCGGACCUUGCGCGAUCGAAUGAGCCGAUGUCGGAUUAGCUAGUUGGCGGGGUAAAGGCCCACCAAGGCGACGAUCCGUAGCUGGUCUGAGAGGAUGAUCAGCCACACUGGAACUGAGACACGGUCCAGACUCCUACGGGAGGCAGCAGUGGGGAAUAUUGGACAAUGGGCGCAAGCUUGAUCCAGCCAUACCGCGUGGGUGAAGAAGGCCUUCGGGUUGUAAAGCCCUUUUGUUGGGAAAGAAAAGCAGCAGGUUAAUACCCCGCUGUUCUGACGGUACCCAAAGAAUAAGCACCGGCUAACUUCGUG
rnacentral:rRNA from 1 species